UGUAUGUAUGAAUAUAUAUAUAUAUAGAGAGAGAGGGUCAGAGAAUUCGGCAGGAACGCAGGAACUCUUUCCUGCGUCUCACGCUCGACCUAAAAGUGGUACCUGCCAACCUGUGACUUCGUCCUCCCUCCUUCCCUCAUCACCCCUCUCACCUAUUUUACCUACCUACUUCAAUUCUUUUGUUUCUUCUUUUUAACAGCCUCGAGAGAUAUGAUCGGUACCAGCAGCCUAACAUUUACAACCACUGACAAAGACAGACAGAUGAUGGUAGAGACAUCAAAAAAAUCUUUAGAUAUAAAAUAUAUUUCUUUUUUUAUUAUUAUCUUUGUUUAUUUUAUUUUAUUUUGUUUAAUAAUAAAGUAAUACAUAUACAGAUAUAACGCAUACGUUACACAAAGAAACAUUUAUAUUUUUCAAUGUUACCAAUUCUCUUAUAAAAUGUAAGAUCAGUCGUGUUCAUCUUGGCACUGAACGAUGUAAGAAGAACUUUCCAUUUUAAACGAGAUACGUACAUAAAUACAUAUGUAUGUACAUCGUAAUCUAUCUUCUUAUGUACCUUACCGUACCUAUCGUCCUACAUCUUGUCUUCUUCCGUUGUUUUCCGUAAAAAAAAGGCGUAUGAACGUUUCCCGCGGGACUUGGAUCCAGAAUACACGUCAUGCGAACAUUCCCUUUGCAAAAUAAAUUUUCUUUCCUUGAGAAACGACGAAGUAGAAGGUUAUUUCGUGUAGGAGAGUCUAACCUUUUUUUAAAUUUAACUACAACAGCGCGACGAUUUACUACGUCUGGCAUAACUAUUUCAAGUUUCUCUCUCUACAAGAGAACCAACCAAUCUCUCGUCCCCUCUCUCUCUCUCUCUUUCUCUCUCUCUCACUUCCCUCCCUCCGAGUCUGCCACCACUCAUCACCAUUUACCCCCUACCUUUUCGAUAAGGAUACAUAUAUAUAUAUCACGUCUCCAUCUCCAUUGUUUUUAGUUUACCGCAUUAUUCGAUUGAUUAUAUCCGUAAUAGAAGUAAACAAUUUAAGAAGAAGGAUGGGCAAUAGGUCGUAACAUACGUACAACUAAACUU